UACGAAGGGGGGCUAGCGUUGCUCGGAAUUACUGGGCGUAAAGGGAGCGUAGGCGGGUUAUCAAGUUGGAGGUGAAAGCCCAGGGCUCAACCUUGGAAUUGCCUUCAAAACUGAUAGCCUAGAGUAUGAUAGAGGUAUGUGGAACUCCGAGUGUAGAGGUGAAAAUUCGUAGAUAUUCGGAAGAACACCAGUGGCGAAGGCGACAUACUGGGUCAUGACUGACGCUGAGGCUCGAAAAGCGUGGGGAGCAAACAGG
rnacentral:rRNA from 1 species